UCUAUCACUCUCAUCCUACGGAAUGGUUCAAAGAUUGCCUGUGCUGCUUGUGGCCUUGAUGCUGAAUGUGCUAAUUUUCUAAAGCCUCCAAUAGAAGAGACGGAGGAGCAAUUUAGGACUCAUUUUGGCCACCAGCAUCCAUUGGUGCUUCUCGACAACCUGCCUGCCGAUCCUAUUUUCUGUUGCGUAUGUGGAAAAAACCGCUCGGAUCCAACCUACGGUUGUCUGGAUUGUCUUUUUUUUAUCCAUCGUUCGUGUUUUGAACGGAGCUGGCCGAAGGAGAUACAACAUUUCUAUCAUCCCUGUCUUCUCACCCUUUAUUCGUGGAUAAAAGAUGAUAGGCCGAUGUUUUCUCGCAGAGAUUGCACAGCUUGUGGACGACUCUUGCCUCAAGGGACCGCCUUCUAUGGCUGCAAACGGUGCAAUUUUGUGAUGGAUGUUGAUUGCACUUUUUGGCCUCUACCGAAUAUGCAGGUAAUCAAGAACAGAUUGGUCAUUUCCUCCAUGGACAUCCAUUGUCAAUCUCCAAGAUCGAGGAAAGUAACCAAAUUGAUUGCUACUUAUGUAAGAAACCCUGCAAUGGUACUACCUAUGGUUGUGUCAGAACUGGCUGUGAGGAUGUUUACUUUCACGAAUCAUGCCUUGAUGAAACACAGCAAGAGAUCUACGAUAUCCGCCACCCUCAACACCCUCUCACCUUUCUUGAUCAUCAUUUAAUAUCGUUAAAAUAUUUACUAUGCAAUUCCUGUCGCGAGGAUAUUGAAGACUUCACUUACAUCUAUCGGUGCGCCAAGUGCGACUGCAACUUUGCACUGGAAUUGCCAUGUAAAGGCUGCCAUAGAAUACGAGGGUCACAAUCACCGUCUACAACUCAAUUUUUUUGAAGAGCACAAUCACCGUCGACUAUUGUUGGCCAAUGUCGAUAGUCUUAAGUGCAAAGCUUGCAGUUCCACCUGCGAAAGCAAUUCAUAUGUGUUCAGUUGUCUCUCUUGUCAGUUUUAUGUUCAUCUUGAAUGCGGUCCAUUACCAUAUAGAAUUAAAGAUGAAUGUCACAUAGAUUCUCUCACUCUCACGAUUUCUCUUGGUGAGCAUGAAGAUGAGACAGACGAUGAAUUCUACUGUGAUGUUUGUGAGAACAUAAGAGAUCCACGAUUGCCCACUUACCAGUGCCAAGAAUGUCAAUAUGUGGCUGAGUUAAAAUGUGUCAUACCUGAGAGGGAGAGUAUGGAGAUACAGAGCUGAGAAGUCCUCUCGGACAAUUAGGUAGGGUAUUGAUUCCCAAAGAUGCGAAACACAUGAUUCAAAAGAAAGAAGACCAACUACUCCAGCCAUUGCCAUCUUUAAGAAGUUUAAGUGAUAUUUUAGAUUCGCUGAGUGAAGAUGAGAAAAAGGAAUUAUUGGCUAGUGGUUUACAGAUCAGAGGAAGUGAAAUAGUUACUGGUAAACCUUUUGACGACGAGAAAAUUUUACAAUUUUCUGACGAGUCUUGCUCACAUUUUAUGAAAUUUCUUCAUCAUGGCGCAAACUCUGAUGAGGAAUUUCCACUCGGAUUACCGUAUGAAGAGAGAGUAUAAAGAAGUUCCACUCGGAUUUCUGUUUCUAAGCAAUGGGACUCUUGACCUCGACGAUUAUUAUUGCGAAGAGUUUAUAUAUGUUGGUGAUCAUAUGGUUACCCCGAAGUAUGCCUCUAUCAUGAGGAGCUUGUUUUCUAAGCAUGGAGAUAUUAGUGUUGGGUCCGGUACCUCAAGUCCAAAAGUCAAAAUGUUUUUCUUUCACGGACCAUGAUUUAGAGUUGAAUUUGCCUUUGAUCGUUUGAAGAGAGUCGCACAUGCUCACUUUGGUGUUUAUGUCAGAAAGCUAGUCGACAAAACUCGUCUUCAACUCGACAGAGAUAUUGAGGCACUCACAGAGAAACGCGAGCGCAUAAUAGUUGCAGAAUCUGCAAAAUCCAGCUUAAUAGUGGAAUGCUUGAGAGAAGCUGAAGUAUUGAAGCAGAGCAAAGCGGGUAGUACACUGUUAGAAACUUUAAAAUAGGGUGCUGUCUGUCUAUUGGCAUGCUGGUAUAUAUGGUCACAACAUAUAAAUAUGAAGAGGAUGGCUCGUGGAGAAAGAAAUCAAUUUGUUUGAUCUGUUUACUCAAUUUGUGACCAUAACUGUCAGAACUAAAUUCAGUUGUGAAAGGCAUGAUCCAGAUUGAAAUCCUUCCCAGAACUGCUACUUAUCUCCAAUAAUAAUUCGUAUCUUGUCAAAAACUGUGCGCUUUAGGUACCAGUAAUAAUAAGAUGUGAUCAAGAAUCAGCUACUUCCAAUGUUCAGAAGCACUUGGUUGCAAGAAUUAACAAUGCUGCAUGACGAGUACGUGUAGGGUGUCCUCAAACUGCCGGCUUUAACUUCUCCAAAACAGAGUAGUUCCGAGAAUCGGGCCUUAUAAAAUGUACAUGUAUUUUAAAGAUGUUGUCUCAAUAUAUUGAGCUACAGCUGAAAUGGUGGCUUCCUACAGAA